AGUGAACGCUGGCGGUAGGCCUAACACAUGCAAGUCGAACGGCAGCACAGUAAGAGCUUGCUCUUACGGGUGGCGAGUGGCGGACGGGUGAGGAAUACAUCGGAAUCUACUUUUUCGUGGGGGAUAACGUAGGGAAACUUACGCUAAUACCGCAUACGACCUACGGGUGAAAGCGGGGGAUCUUCGGACCUUGCGCGAUUGAAUGAGCCGAUGUCGGAUUAGCUAGUUGGCGGGGUAAAGGCCCACCAAGGCGACGAUCCGUAGCUGGUCUGAGAGGAUGAUCAGCCACACUGGAACUGAGACACGGUCCAGACUCCUACGGGAGGCAGCAGUGGGGAAUAUUGGACAAUGGGCGCAAGCCUGAUCCAGCCAUACCGCGUGGGUGAAGAAGGCCUUCGGGUUGUAAAGCCCUUUUGUUGGGAAAGAAAAGCAGCAGGUUAAUACCCCGCUGUUCUGACGGUACCCAAAGAAUAAGCACCGGCUAACUUCGU
rnacentral:rRNA from 1 species